CCUCACAGUAGUAACUUUGUAGGCGGUGGUAGUAGCUUUUGUAGCUGGUGGUAGUAGCUUUGUGGCUGGUGGUAGUAGUUUUGUGUUUUGUCGGAAACCUCACAGUAGUAGCUUUUGUAGGCGAUGGUAGUAGAUUUUGUAGCUGGUGAUAGUAGCUUUUGUGGCUGGUGGUAAUAGUUUUUAUGUUUCGUUAGAAACCUCACAGUAGUAGCUUUUGUAGGCGGUAGUAGUAGUUUUUGUAAGCGGUGCUAGUAGCUUUUGUGGUUGGUGGUAGUAGCUUUUAUGGUUGGUGAUAGUAGUUUUUGUGUUCGUCGGAAACCUCACGGUAGUAGCUUUUGUAAGCGGUGGUAGUAGCUUUUGUAGCUUGUGGUAGUAGCUUUUGUGUUUAUUGGAAACCUCACAGUAGUAGCUUUUGUAGGCGGUGGUAGUAGUUUUUGUAGCUGGUGGUAGUAGCUUUUGUAGUUGGUAGUAGUAAUUUUUGUCAUCGUCAGAAACCUCACCGGAGGUCGGCCGGAAACCUCACCGGAGAUCAGCCGGAAACCUCGCCGGAGGUCGGCCGGAGACUUUUCCAAGAUGAGAGUGGUUGUUGACUUUUUAUACUAGUGGCAUUCUUGUAAAUAUAAAUGAAAGAAUCUAAUGUUUUUUAUUGGAUGGCAGUCUGUAAUUUUGUUCAACUUUUAUACCUAAUAUAAAACCCUAUUUAGGUUUAGGUGGACUUAUGUGAAUAAAAAUGUUUAGGUGGACUUAUAUGAAAUAAAAUAUCUGAAAGUGGACUUCUAUGUAAUUGGCCCUAUAAUUAAAGGUUAUACUUUAUUUUAAGAGAUAAUAAUCUAUUUAGUCAUCAAAAAAUAUAAUAAUCUAUUUGCAUUAUUGAUAAUUUAUUUGUCAAACUACAAUACCAAGCGAUUAAUUAUGUUGUCCCGAACUACUACGUGAUACUGGGGAGGAAAUCACAUGUGUCAGAUUGCCAUAUGCCCAAUAUGUAUCAAUAAUAAAACUCUGACAUGUGGAAUCUCAAUCAUCACUACUUAACAAAAACCUAACUUUGACGAACUUAAUUAAAUUUUUU
rnacentral:lncRNA from 1 species